AAAGUCUGAAACCAAUACACGAGUAACAAGUGAUACCUAAGAAUGAUCAAUGACAACCCUUUAAAUAUUCUCUCCUUGAAUAAUCUCAAAUCUCUCUUGUCCCUUCUUCCUCUCCAAUCCUCUUCGGAUACUCACAUUUCGGUCAUCCUAAUUUCCCUACAACUCUCCGUCCAUCGGUCAACCAUCAAACCACCAAAGUUUCCUCCUCCUUGUAUCAACAAGUUUCAUCUGGCAAGCUUUUGCAUGCACCAAGAGAUACUAUAUCCGUCUGCAUAUAUUCUAAAUAAGUUCCUUGUAACAGAGUUUAGGGGCAAAGGGUCUAAAUUGUUGCAGAUAAUGGCCAAUGCUCCACUUUCAACACAGACAUAAUUUCAUUGUAAAAUGGUCAAGAUUGGUUAAAAUACAUAGCCAGCAACCAGUCUAAGUGCUAAACCAAUCUUGCAAACACAUAUUAGCCAGCAACCAGUCUAAGUGCUAAACCAAUCUUGCAAACACAUAUUUACAAAAGCAUAAACUUACAUUUCAUUAAACAAAAGAAAAAAGGCCAUUGACACCACUCAACAAGAAGUUGGUAUUAAAAUCAUGGCACUUACAAGCAUCAAAAAGGGUCUAAAAACAUGCAAAUGUUCUUAUAUACAUAAACAUGUCAGGUCUUUAUAUGAUACCCUAAAACGCCAUAUCUAUUUGGAUCAAGUGGAAGAGUGACCAGCAGCUAGCCAGGAUUUCAGUCUAGUACAACAUAACCUUGCCUUCGAAGACGGCGCAAUUGAUGAAGGGGCGGUACACGAAGACGAGCAGGAAGGUCAUAAUCAUCAUCAUGGACAACAUGAACACCUCC
rnacentral:lncRNA from 1 species